rnacentral:rRNA from 1 species
AUGAAGGUCCUACGGAUUGUAAACUUCUUUUAUAAGGGAAUAAACCCUCCCACGUGUGGGAGCUUGUAUGUACCUUAUGAAUAAGCAUCGGCUAACUCCGUGCCAGCAGCCGCGGUAAUACGGAGGAUCCGAGCGUUAUCCGGAUUUAUUGGGUUUAAAGGGAGCGCAGACGGGUCGUUAAGUCAGCUGUGAAAGUUUGGGGCUCAACCUUAAAAUUGCAGUUGAUACUGGCGUCCUUGAGUGCGGUUGAGGUGUGCGGAAUUCGUGGUGUAGCGGUGAAAUGCUUAGAUAUCACGAAGAACCCCGAUUGCGAAGGCAGCUUGCUAAACUGUAACUGACGUUCAUGCUCGAAAGUGUGGGUAUCAAACAGGAUUAGAUACCCUGGUAGUCCACACGGUAAACGAUGGAUACUCGCUGUUGGCGAUAUACUGUCAGCGGCUUAGCGAAAGCGUUAAGUAUCCCACCUGGGGAGUACGCCGGCAACGGUGAAACUCAAAGGAAUUGACGGGGGCCCGCACAAGCGGAGGAACAUGUGGUUUAAUUCGAUGAUACGCGAGGAACCUUACCCGGGCUUAAAUUGCAGACGAAUUACGAGGAAACUUGUAAGCCGCAAGGCGUCUGUGAAGGUGCUGCAUGGUUGUCGUCAGCUCGUGCCGUGAGGUGUCGGCUUAAGUGCCAUAACGAGCGCAACCCUCGCCGCCAGUUACUAACAGUUAAAGCUGAGGACUCUGGCGGGACUGCCAUCGUAAGAUGUGAGGAAGGUGGGG